rnacentral:lncRNA from 10 species
GAGAAGCAGUCAAGGUACUGCGAUGUAGCUCCCAUGUUGAAAAACGAUCUCAGACCAACUCUGAGACAAGGAAUGCCUCCGGGUAUGAGACUCAUUUGUCGUUGACUAAUGGAUUUGGAGACAGAGUGGGGGCCUAACGUCUAGUGGAGGAGAGAGACGUGAAUAAAUGUACGUAACAAGAGGCAUCUAAAAAAGUGACCUUGGGGGGAAAACUGAAGAUAGCAAAAAGCGGUUGACCACAACUCUGUCAUCUAGAUAUCUAUCACCAACUCUAAAAUGUGUGUAGUCAACAAAUGCUGUGAAGCUACAUUCACAAUUUGUAUGGAUGAGCCGUCUGAUUGGAAUAAGACUCAGAUGUGGAAGGUACAAGCUCUUCAAGAUGAGUGACCCUUCCAGUAGGUGAGGGUCUGCACUCUGUGCCAGUUAAAAGAUAGCUCCACAAGGCAAAUCAGUGUGCUCUGACCCAAAGGAAGUGCAAGGAAAAAGAACAGCUGCCCACUGUGGACUUCUGGACAUCCCAUCUUCUAAGACUUUAAAGGACUUGCAUCUACUUUUGUUAAUCUACAAGCAUUCUUGGUAAAUAUCAGAUACACAAUACUAGCUUUUCUCAUACGUCACAAUGGAAGAAAAGGUUGACUGUAAAUGGAGUCUGUAAAUUUCUACAAGUUGCUUCCUUGAUUUGUGCAGACUGUUCAUGGAUGAGAAUGCUGAAGGGAAUGGGGAGGCUGGUGCACACCCAACCGAAGCUGCAGGGCCCUUGCACUGCCCAGCCUAGAGGGCCUGGUUCUUGCUUAUUUGUUUUCUCUACUUGUUUAUUUUUCUCUGUACAUUUUCUGACUCAGUAAUGUGAGAGUAUUUGCAGAAAUGUAAAUCCUCAAAUCUUUCUCAGCAAGUUGAAUGUCUUUAUUACACAACCCACUUUAAAGUAGUCUUGUUUAUACAUUUAUUGGAAAUGAUCAAUAGUUAAACAGAUCCUAUAAGCAAUUAUAAGUAUAGUUUUACAAUUUAUUAAAUUAUUUCUUUAGCCCAACCACAGACCUGAAUACCGUGAUUAAGUUAUCUUGUUUAAGCCUUAAAAUAAUCCUAAGUAGUACGUACUCUUAUCAUCCCUAUGUGCUUAUAAACUCAAAAACUGUGGUAACUUGCCAAUACACACUGGAGCUGAGAUUAAACCAUGUCUGUGCAACUCUAAGCCCUGGAUCUCUGCAACUAUGCUAUAUAGGGAAUUUCAGAUCUGGAAGGACACUAGAUCCCAUUCUCUCCAACUUCUUCAUUGGACAGAUGGGAGAAGGGUGGCACACACAGCUAGUAGAGGACAAGCCAAGCUCAGAAACCAGAUUUCUUGCUGCCCAGUCCAAUGUUCUGACUAUAGUGCACUGCCAAAGGAAAAUUCUGUGAAGUUAG